UGAAAACUGAGAAGCUACACUAGUGGACACCAGCAAAAACAAGGCUUUCAUUUAUUUGGAAAAAGAAGAUCCAAAGAUCAUGCUAGCCAACGUUCCUCAACUCGACAGUACCUCAACCAAAACAAAUUAAUAUUAGGCCAUUGCACAUUUCUCCUGAUGGAGAAAGGCAAGCAAAACCCAAAAGAGACCAUGUUUGUGCAUUGGUGCAAAAUACCACAGAGUUUUGCUUAUCUUUGAGAAGCAGCAUCUGCAACAAUACUUAUUGCAUGUAGGCUAUCCCGACUCUGAUGCAACCCUGUGUCUUGGGUUAUUUUCUGCCACACGCUCUGCAAGUUUCCCCUCGAUUCACUCUUUCCGAUAUCCACAUGCAUCUUCGGGGGGAGAGAAUGGGAAACUCAUCAACGAAGUGCCGCUUAAAUGUCACGGAUUAUUUUACGGUCUGGGCCGUUACGGGAGAAAACAUUUUUUUUGUUCCUGUUUUCCCUGUUUUUCCUCUUCGCCAGUUAGUUCGCCCGGGUGCUAAGCCAGCUAUUCUCCAUUCAGUGUUUAAAACAAUGAGGCAUCUCCCAUGAUCAGGUGAAAUGGAUCUCUCCACCCAUCUAUCGCCCUGUUCUUGCUGAAGCAACCUGAUCUCGCUGAGAGAAGCUGACCCACAACUUCACAGGGGAUUGGGUGACAGCCAUGUUGAAUUGGCUGAAUGAGUGCGACGGUGUCCGUUUACCGUCUUCCCCAAUUGGACAGGACAAUGGGGAGAGACAGGCGAGAGGCCCUUGCACAGAGAGUUAUUGUUGUCUUGGAUGGCAGUCGAGCUCCUUGCCAUCCAGGAGUUCUA
ensembl:lncRNA